GAGAGUAUAGCUCAGUGGUAGAAUGUGUGCUUAGCAUGCACAAGGUCCUGGGUUCAAUCCCCAGUACCUCCA
rnacentral:tRNA from 1 species